AAUGGGUCAGCGACUUAUAUUCUGUAGCAAGGUUAACCGAAUAGGGGAGCCGAAGGGAAACCGAGUCUUAACUGGGCGUUAAGUUGCAGGGUAUAGACCCGAAACCCGGUGAUCUAGCCAUGGGCAGGUUGAAGGUUGGGUAACACUAACUGGAGGACCGAACCGACUAAUGUUGAAAAAUUAGCGGAUGACUUGUGGCUGGGGGUGAAAGGCCAAUCAAACCGGGAGAUAGCUGGUUCUCCCCGAAAGCUAUUUAGGUAGCGCCUCGUGAAUUCAUCUCCGGGGGUAGAGCACUGUUUCGGCAAGGGGGUCAUCCCGACUUACCAACCCGAUGCAAACUGCGAAUACCGGAGAAUGUUAUCACGGGAGACACACGGCGGGUGCUAACGUCCGUCGUGAAGAGGGAAACAACCCAGACCGCCAGCUAAGGUCCCAAAGUCAUGGUUAAGUGGGAAACGAUGUGGGAAGGCCCAGACAGCCAGGAUGUUGGCUUAGAAGCAGCCAUCAUUUAAAGAAAGCGUAAUAGCUCACUGGUCGAGUCGGCCUGCGCGGAAGAUGUAACGGGGCUAAACCAUGCACCGAAGCUGCGGCAGCGACGCUUAUGCGUUGUUGGGUAGGGGAGCGUUCUGUAAGCCUGUGAAGGUGUGCUGUGAGGCAUGCUGGAGGUAUCAGAAGUGCGAAUGCUGACAUAAGUAACGAUAAAGCGGGUGAAAAGCCCGCUCGCCGGAAGACCAAGGGUUCCUGUCCAACGUUAAUCGGGGCAGGGUGAGUCGACCCCUAAGGCGAGGCCGAAAGGCGUAGUCGAUGGGAAACAGGUUAAUAUUCCUGUACUUGGUGUUACU
rnacentral:rRNA from 1 species